GCCAUAGCUCAGUGGUACAGCAUUUGCCUUGCAUGGAGAAGGUCCCAGAUUCAGUCUCUGACAUCUGCA